GGGGUUGUGGCUCAGUGGUAGAGUGUUUGCUUCCCAUGCAUGAGCCACUGGGUUCGAUCCUUGGCACCACUU
rfam:Ictidomys tridecemlineatus contig003740, whole genome shotgun sequence.